AAAAAUGACAAAACAUGCUGAAAAAUGAGGAUCAGAGUUUCCCAAAAGCCCCGAGACGACGUCCUCAAAUGUCUUGUUUUGUCCAAAAAUAUUCAGGUCACUGUCACAGAGGAGAGAAGAAACUAGAACAAUAUUCAGA